AAUUGGUUUUUUUAGGGGACCUUUUUAUGACUUGAAAUCAUUUUUGAGUGGCUUAGGAUGAAAUUUAGCCUGGGGGUCACUUUUCUAAUUUUGGCAUUUAGCCUCUGUCUUUAAAAAUGGUGGUCAUAACAAGCGAGAUGAAUAAUUUUGAUUUUUCUAAACUAUUUUAAAUGGUUAUGGUAAUAGCCUACAAACUUCCUUUGUCUUUUGAUAAGUAAUAACCCAUUGUUUGGCAGCUCUAAGCCUUUAAAUGCAAAAACCAUCAAUAUUGGCUACUUUUGUGGCAACUUAAUAAGAGUACUUGUUUCAAGUGGAAAGUUUUGCCAUUUAUUUCUUCAAAGUCACAUUUAGUAUUAUUAAUAACAAAGGUACAAAUGAUUAUGGAAUACAUUUAAGUAAAAUAAAACACUUCAACUCAAAUUUGAAGUCAAGUCUGUAAUAUGAAAUACACUGGAUAUUCUUAAUCUAGGUAUUCUUCUGUAUCACUAUCUUCUUCAGAUGACUCUAGAACAGUAGCUUUAAUUGGCUCAUCUGAAUGUCCAUUUUCAUGGGUUAGAGGCAAUUUCAUUCUAUUUGGCAGUCCACUUUUAGUAUGCAUCAGGUUCCAACACAUCCAACACUGAUGUCCACCCAAAAUUUUUGUUGCAAGGAGUCCAG